AAAACGGCCCUUUUCGGGGCCACCAUAAGGCCGCACUAUUCAGUA
rfam:Macrostomum lignano uti_cns_0000449, whole genome shotgun sequence.